CCAGUUCGGAUCGCAGGCUGCAACCCGCCUGCGUGAAGUUGGAAUCGCUAGUAAUCGCGGAUCAGCAUGCCGCGGUGAAUACGUUCCCGGGCCUUGUACACACCGCCCGUCACACCAUGGGAGUUUGUAACGCCCAAAGUCGGUGGCCUAACCUUUAUGGAGGGAGCCGCCUAAGGCGGGACAGAUGACUGGGGUGAAGUCGUAACAAGGUAUC
rnacentral:rRNA from 1 species